rnacentral:rRNA from 4 species
AAUCCAUAGGUUAAUGAGGCGAACCGGGGGAACUGAAACAUCUAAGUACCCCGAGGAAAAGAAAUCAACCGAGAUUCCCCCAGUAGCGGCGAGCGAACGGGGAGGAGCCCAGAGCCUGAAUCAGCAUGUGUGUUAGUGGAAGCGUCUGGAAAGGCGCGCGAUACAGGGUGACAGCCCCGUACACAAAAGCGCAUGUGCUGUGAGCUCGAUGAGUAGGGCGGGACACGUGGUAUCCUGUCUGAAUAUGGGGGGACCAUCCUCCAAGGCUAAAUACUCCUGACUGACCGAUAGUGAACCAGUACCGUGAGGGAAAGGCGAAAAGAACCCCGGCGAGGGGAGUGAAAAAGAACCUGAAACCGUGUACGUACAAGCAGUGGGAGCACCCUUUGGGUGUGACUGCGUACCUUUUGUAUAAUGGGUCAG